AGAGUCCCUGCAGGGAGGUGUACGGCCGGACUGAGGGCCUCGCAGACCUACGGCGGCUGCGCUACCAGAGCACCCGCUUCUGAGUCAUUCUCUGGGCCCCGGCUGCUCCCCGGGGCGGGAGGGAGGGUGACUGGCCCGGCGUCCUUGCGGGGCCCGUCUCCCCGCGCCCCUCCCGCACUCCUGCCCCUCACCCCUGGCAGGACGGCCCACUUCCGGACCUGGCACUUUCCCCAGGGGGCAGGUCUGGUCACCGCAGCCAGAUCUUCCAGGGCAAGGCUGGGGCGGGUGGGCAACACGAUUUGGAAAGCCCUUUUCUUCUGCUGCUCCUCUCCCAACACCCUGGGGUGGGGCUCAGGUCCCAGAGAGAAUUCCCAUCCCGCAUGAUUCCUCAGCCCAAAUCGCACAUCCACCAGGACUCUCGCCCCCCCCAGGGUCCUGCUCCCGGUGUCUGCUCUUUCUGGGGCCACUGCAGGGGCUCUGCCUGUCUGUGAACCUGCCUCCCCCGGAUUCGAGGUCUGGGGAGAUGGGAGCCACUCAGUCCCCUCCUGACCCCUUCUAGACUCAUGGCUUCCCCUUCCCCCAUCCAAAGCCUGGAGGCCACAGUGACCUUGCCAAGAAACAUCCAACUCCUGAGAUUUUGCAGGACACGGGGCACUGCUUGUGGGGCACACAGCCUGGGGCUCUGGGAGGUUGUUAUAAGGGGGUCUACAGAAAUGCUUCAUGGAGACAUGUAGCUUUGGGGGCUGUGAACCUCCAGGACUGGAGCCAGCUUCUCGGGUUCAGAACCUGUGUGCACGAGAGAGGGAGUGCGUGUGCAUGCAGGCCAGCGUGUGAGCGCACAUACGUGAGAGCACUGUGUGCACGAAUGCGCGUGUGGCUGUGCAGGCCUGUGCACGAGCACACGUGCGAACGCAUGUGCGAGAGUGCGCUUGUGUGAGUGUAGGUGUGGGAGCGCACUGGUCUGUUCUGCUUAGUUGCCAGGCCAAUGACCGCCCCUCUCUGCAACCUGUCUUACCUUUGUGAUGGUCUGUGGCUGCUUCCCUGCGUGGGUCCAGCCUGUCCCUUUGUAAAUAAAUGUCCUAAAGCUCCUCGCCCCUUGCCUGGGGCUGCCAGCUUGGCUCUUCUUCCUGGUCUCUCCCCCCACCUGCAAAGUUCUCCCCACCUCCUCAUUCUACUGUGUACAUUCUAGCAAAAGAGAAAUUGCGGGUCUAGGAGCAGAGCCAACCUUCUGGGGCCUCCCAUGUCCCUCUCCCAACACCCCUCCCCCCAUGACAAGGCAACAGGGCCACACAUGCUGCAUAUUCAGCCCGCCCAGGCUCCGGAGCUCUCUAAGGCUGCGUAAACAAGGCUUCCUUGGAUGUUCAAAGGAGCUGGCAACCUGCAGGGGAAAAGGCAAACUCCUUUCUUGAAAGGGAAGAGAAGCACCCAGCCAAUGAGGCCCUGCCUGCCCAGGCCCGGGGCGGCCAGUGGGAAGGAAGCAGCUCUGUCCUGGUGCCCCGAUGAGGGACAGAAACCGGCUGCCUGCCUCAGCUGGCAGGAGGUGCUAAAAGGGCAUCUGAAAGACCAGCCACUGCUGGUAGCCUUCUAGAACCAAAGAGGGGCUUGGUUUUCUUUUGGACAAGAGAGCAGCCUUUGGGAGGGAGAUGCCUACCCAGGGAGCUGCAGAGGGCAGCCCGGUCCCUGAGCCCGACUGGGUGGGUCUGCGUCCAAGGAUCCCCCCCAGACGGCGGCGACCCAGUGAGCUCCAUGGCAGCCCCCUGACCCCUGGGCCUGGCCCAUGCCCUCCCUGGCCCGCUGUGUGGCCGGGCCUUAUGUCUGACCAGUGCCUCUCCUGUGGGAUGGCUGGGCACAGGUGAUGCAGUGGCCUUUGGUUUUAUUAUUUCUUUUUCCAAUAAAAGGACUUGCCCAGCUUGAGGCUCUGUGCUGCUUCUCUCCCUUAUGGUGGUGGGCUGCCAGCUCUGUGCCCCAGGCCUCCAGUGAGGCGAGGCUCAGCUGCCCACCCGCCUCAUGCUAAGGAGGUAGGGCUGACUAUGUCCCUGAAGGAGUGGUGAACCUGACAUGGGCAGGACCCACCCUGUCUUCUUGGAGCUUGUAGUCUAGUCGGGAGGCUACAUUCCAGAUCCUCUAAUCUGGAGCCUUUAUGGGGCAUUUGCAGCCUCGGGUGGAGGGAAACGCUUGACUGAAAGCCAGGGCAAAAGUAAGUAAUGAAUUGAUUAAAUACCCAUUUUUUCAGCUCGUAACCUGGUUGGGCCCUGUUAGGGGUUGGAUCACAGAAGUCACUCAGUUUUAAAGACUAGAAAAGCAUGUGAAUGUUGAAAUCUAGCAGGGUUGUGUCUUGCAUUUUAUAAAACCAAGUAACCUUUAUUGAGCACCUAUUGUGUGCCAGAUGCUUUGGUAAAACCAUAUGCUAGAGCUGGGAGGGGAUUUAAAGAUCAUCUAAAUGAGGCAGAAUGGAGGCCCAGAGCAGUCACACGACUUGCCCCAGGUCACACAGCUGGUUGACGAUUGUGCCAAAUUUAGAGCCGACCUCUCCUGACCCAGUGCUCACUCUGACACCAUGGGGAUGGCAUCCCGAUGGAAGAUGCCCUAUGCUGCAGGGCGGCCAGGGUCACACACUCAGGUCUGUGGACGAAGAGAGGGUCUCAUCAGACUGGGGGGACAAUGGCGCUGGCCUCAGGGUGGGGGCUUUGGGGAGAUCCCCUCUGGGUGGUGCUGAAUGGGAGUCUGGGUGGCUUCCACGCUUGGACUUGCUGCUCUGGAGGGGCAGCUGGGCCUUUGCCUGAACCAUGGGGAGGCCUGGACCCACUGCCUGUGUGCAAACCUGGGGUGUGUGUGGGUGGUCACAAUGGAGGUUGUUCUUUAACAUGAGGGUGGGUUCAUUCUGUCUGUCCUGUAUGCAAGGUUAUUAGUCGUAAUAUUAAACCAUAGUAGCUAACAUUUACCACUUGGUAUGUGCCAGGCACUAGGCUAAGACCCUACAUAAUCAUUCAAUCCUCACGACAACCCUAUGGUGUGGACUAUUAUUCCCAUUUUACAGAUGAGGACACUGAGGCCCACAGAAGUUAAAUAACUUGCCCAAAGUUACACAACUAGGAAGUGGCAGAUCUUGGCUUUGAAUCUAGGCAGUCUGACUCCAAGCUGUGUGGAAGAUGAUUAAUCCAGCUUCAGGGACCCUGUCAGAGCUCGAGGUCCUCAGCCAUCCUAGGGAAGGAUUUGACAGAUUCCCAGGUGCCUGUCAGGGGAGUGGGAAAUGCAGCCCACCAGGAGGGCUGGCAGGAAGAGACAGGCAGCAAGGACAGGAAUAUACAGAUGUGAAAUCCGCUGGCCCCUGGGGCAACGUGACCCGAGAAGCAGCUUAGGCAGAUGCAGACAGGCCUGUAAAUCUUGAGCCAGGGGACCUGAAAAAAUGCAGUGAAGGUGCCUGUCAGGGGAGUGAGAAAUGCAGCCCACCAGGAGGGCUGGCAGGAAGAGACAGGCAGCAAGGACAGGAGUAUACAGAUGUGAAAUCCGCUGGCCCCUGGGGCAACGUGACCCGAGAAGCAGCUUAGGCAGAUGCAGACAGCAGGCUUCAGGACCCAGGCGUGGGGGCCAGUUGCCAGUCUGGAUCACAGCUCUUGCCACUUCACCAGCUAUGGGACCCUGGGGAGCUUGUUCUUUCUGAGCCUUGCUUCUUGGUGAGAAAACAGAGAAACUGCCAAACCAUCUUGCAGAGUUGCUGUACCAUGUUGCAUUCCCACCAACAACGUAUGGGAGAGCGAGUUUCUCUGCAUCCUCGCCGGCACGUGGUGGUAUUUUUUUUUUUUAGCUGUUCUGAUAGACAGGAACCAAUUUUCAGCCCCUCGCGGGUGAUCGCACCACCACCGCGGAGAACGCUCCGCUUCUCUAAGGCUUCUAGCCAAGGGAAGGCACCAGCGGUCUGGUGAGGCUUUAAUCACCAAGCUGCCUCCAAGAGGCCAGAAAACAGCUGGUUUGGACAAAUCUGGUACAGGCCAAUGUUUGGACCAGGCCCCAGUCUCGGACACGGGAAGGAUUAAAUACUCCGACCCCAAGGGCUGCCGGGGUGGCUGGUGUCCGCCACGGCUGUCCCCAGGGCUGGAGGUACCGUGCGCUGGCAGCUGCCAGGGCUGCGAGUUCUGGGUCACUGAGCAUGCUUCGGGAGGCACUUCCAGGAGCCCGCUGUCGGGCACAACGGCUCGUCGCCCGCCCUGCCCCCGGCCCUGACUCACCUAGGCCGAAGUGCGCCACGGGCUCCAUCUCACACAGAGAGGUGAGGAGGGCAGAUGUCGUUAUCCCUUCUGUGCAUGUGCAGAACAAGACCCACAAGAUGAAGCAACUCUUCCAAGACCACAAGUGAGGCAAUAGCAGGACUGGGGCUUGGGACUCCUGAUCAGUGCUCUUUCUCUGACACCAGGCUGAAUGCCAAGAGGGGUGGGGUCAGACUGCCGGACCCUCAGCCUCUCCUUUCCAUCCCCUUCUGGUGCCAGAGAAGCUACCGCCAACGGGUUUCCAGAGCCCUGCAUGGAUCAUCAGCUCCUCUGCACCCGCCUGGGGCUCCCAGAGGCUCACCCAGCCCUAGAGUGUUAGCCUUCAAUGCGGCAGGGAAGAAGGGGUCCCGCGCUGUGGAGCUGGCUACCCCAUCCCUCUUGCCCUCAUCCUGCGCAUGGGCAGAGCUGAGACAGAGGAGUGCGGGCCUGAGCCCCCAGGUGCCCUCACCUGUGCCCCGGCCCUCAGGCUCCAAGGCAUCGCCAGGAUUGAGCUCCUCGAUGAGGGGGUCGCCAUGUUCCCUGCGGAUGACACUGGAGGAGAGGAGACAGGUCGUUCCCAGAUGAGUAACAUGCUGGCGAGGCCCCCAUGGGCCCCCUGAACCCAGAGGCCCACUUGCUCCAGUCUCUGUCCUCCAAGCAGCCCCGGACCCCACUGUGCAUCGGCCACCACCUGGAUGCCUACGGAAGCCACUCUGCUCAUGGAACCUGCCUACACCCUGCCUGUCCCCUUCUUGGGUUUUAAUUUAUGUUGGUAAAUAUUGAUUUUUCUUUCUCUAAUGGAUGAAUUAUAGACAGCCUGGGGAAGGGCAGUUGAUGGAUGGAGAAGGGGCAGGGACACAGCUACCUUCAGCUGCCCUUCCCUUUCCUUCAAGUGGUCCUGGGCUUCUGAGUUCUGGGUGUACCCAGGAUUCAAACCACUCAGAUGCCGCCUCCUCCAAGCCCUCCCUGAUCGUCGGGCUGCAAGCAGUGCUUUACUGCUCAGCCUUUAUCACUUUCUGCCUUGUGUUACAGCUCUGAAUGAAUGCAUCUUAUCUCCCCAGUUAGACUGGGAGCUCUUUGCACGCCGGGACCACGUGUUACUCAUUCUCGCAUUUCCCACAGCACCUAGCACAGCGCGCGGCUCACUGGAAGCUCCGAGCUCAUGUCCGUGGGAGGCGUGGAUGAAGUCCAGCAGCAGAAAGGGCAAAAAGGGGUCCCUUUGGGUUGCAGGAGCUCUGUCUAUUUUAAGCUCUGAAUCACGGUAAUCUUUGCUUCAGAAAAGCCCACUGUGAAUGUCCUGCUCUUUCUCCACACUGAGCUGAAUGCUGCUGAUGAUGGUGAGCUUUCCUCCGAUUUUUCUCAUUCAUUAGAUUCUCAGAGCCUUGGGUGCUCUGGCCUGGGUGUGAGGAGCAAUGCUGGGGGAGACAGGGGGCUGGAAGGGAUCUCACUCUCCCCGCGACACUGCAGGCAGCUCUUGCCUGCCCAAGUCACAGAGAGUCACCAGCGGGCUGAGAUGUGGCCAGUGACUUCAGGAGGGGCCAGGGGUCCCCAGAGCUGGAACCUGUGGUGGCCAGAGGGCAGAGUGCGGCCGCAAGUGCGGGGGCUCUGCAGCGCUGAGCCCGGCCCCGGGAGAACGCUCUGUGGGCCUGGGGCCUCGGUGCUGAGCAGACCCGUGUGCGUGCUCGGGGCGGAGGGCGGCGCGCCUGGGUGCACUUGGGCGCGUACACACCUGCUAGAGGUGUGUGUGCCUCAGCCUGCCAACAACCGCAGUCCCUUUGACCCCUGGUGUCCCACAGACUCUGCCGCAGCUGGGCAGAGGCAUCCCUUGGUUCAGGUGACAGUGCAAUUAAGGGUUCCUAAGGAUAAAGCCCAGCAGUUCCACUGCAUCGAUGUACUGCCAUACUGCCGAACGAAUUCUUCCGCAGUGACUUCUGUGUGCCGUCACCGCCUGGGGGCCUGUGGCUGUGCUUCGCAUCCGGAGGGACGGGGCUCAGGGCCCAUGACAACAGGGAGUCUCAGGCAGAGCUCCGAAGGCCAACAGGGAGAGGGGCUGAGGGGAGGGCGGAGCUGGGCAAGCUCACCCCGGCUUCCUGGAGGAAGGGCCAACUAAGCUGAGACCCAAACGAUGAGUAUGAGUCACUCAGGUGAAGAGGGAGGGGCAAGGGACAGAGGGGGUGGGCAGCCUGAGGUUCCAGGCCUGGUACAGCCCAGAACCGAACAAAGCUGGUGGUGUCUGGAGCUCAGCUGUAAACGGGGAAAUGGAGAGUGGCCAGGCUGGGGACAAAGCGGGAGGUGUGGGAUGAGUCCAGGAGAAGGCAGUGGGGGGCUUCCGAAAGGUUUCAAGUGGACGAGGGGUGUGGCCAGAUUUGCAUUUUCAAACAGCUUGCUCUGCAGGACUAGCCGGGGACACCUGCUGAAGGCAGCUGCAGGAAUCCCCUUCAGAGCCAGGGACAAGGAUGGAGGAGCGGCAUAGGGGUGAGGAGGGGAGAAGAGAUCGGAGGCAUGUUUCAGUGUCAGGGGUGUGACCGUCCCUAUCCCGGCUGGCCUGGGAGAGUCCCUGUUUGCCUGCUGUCCCGCCACCAUUAACAGGACUAAGCAUCUGGUUUGGGGACGAAUUCCCUGGUUACCCUACUCUUCACUGAAAGAUCGCAGGCUCAAGCACACAGAGGCUCUGAGUCUCCAGUACCUCCUGCAAGGAGCCUGCCAAGUUCCAUUCAGCAACAGGGACAGGCUGGGGCCAACCAUGCAGAGUGGCCAGCGAGGCAGCGGCCCCUGCUGUAGCCCCUCACAGUCGGGGCUGUGUGCUCGGGACGCAGCCAUCUGCCACUGGGACUUGGCUCGCACUGCUGCUGAGUGGAGGCAAAGACCCUAACCCGUGGGGCCACUACGGGGUGACCCUGUCCUCGUCCAUGGCAGCCCCGGGCCAGCCCGCCCUUGGGGUGGCCAGAGGGAGGCUGGGUGGUGUGACAGAGCCAGGUGGGCAGGCGGACGGGGGAGGUGCCUGGGUUCUCGGGCCACAGCGACCAGAGCACUAGGCUCCCUCGUGCUCAGGGGCCCUGGCGAGUGACACUUUAUUAGCCAGAGAAGGAAAGCAGUGUCUCUGUUAACGAGCAAUUGAUCUUCCGCAAUUAAUCUGGAAGUUGUGAAUAAGCUUUUUGCAAGGCACCUAAUUAGUAUAUCUAGUGCCUUCGGGGGGUGAUUACAUCCAGUCAGGAUUGAUGCUUUGUUAAUAAUUAUAUUUUAAAACAUGCUUAGUCACAGCUCUUGCCUUUUAUUAAUAGUUGGGCCCCCCUGGGGUAAGGGAUGGGGGCCCCGGGGAGCCGAGCAGGUGAUCGGGCCCAUUUCCUGAAUCCAAGGCCCCCUGCUCUACCUGCCUUCUCUCCCCACUGACUCCUGAGGCCCAGGAGCAUGUUUUAGGCCAGGAAAAGGGUUGUCUUAGGCCACAUGGAUCCUGAGGUUCCCCAACAGCAGUUCUCAAACUUUAGUGUGAUAAGAAACACCUGAUGCCCAGCGCACUUGUUAAAAAUAGAGAUUCCUGGGCCUCACCCCUGGAGAUUCUGAUUUAGGAGAUCUGGGUGGGCCCUGGGAUUCUGUACUUUAAGUAAGUACUUCGGGUGAUUCUGAUGCCAAUGGACCCCUCUUAGAGAAGUAUUGCCUUUGAACAUCCAACCUUUCCUCCCCAGAUGCAGAUGCUUGCAUAUUCCUUCCAUUCUGUCACUCCCUUUUCCUUGUCUACCAUUAAUUGUCUCAUCCAGCAUUUCCCAAGGGAUGUUUUGCAGAGCACCAGUCCCAAGGGGAAAAUCUCUGAAAGAGGUGUCCUGUGGUUAAAUCUAUUUGGAAUACUCCAUCUACCUUUCAGAAAGUAAAAACGCUCAUGGUCAUGUUAAAGGCCCUGAGAAGUCCUGCAGCCAGUAAACCUGCCUGUCUUUGCUUACCCCAGGUGCACCUAAACAAAUUUGACUCUGUAACUCCUUUUUGUGGUAGUAUGGAUUUCUCUCCUGCAGAGCUUGGCUUCUGGGCACACUUUGGGCCAUGUCCCUCUGCCCAUUCCCCCCACAACAGCAGGAGGCCGGCUUCCUGCCCAGGAUCUGCCCUCCUCUCCACAGCCUCUUGCUCAAUCCCUCCUUCCCUCCUGUCUAUUCCUUCAUCAGGGGACCUUCCUGCACUUCAGCCCUGGGAACACCCCUCUGAGUCCUACACCUUCCUCCCUGACUCCCAGCCCGCGACAGCGAGAGGCCACUGGCCAGGCUGAAGCACCUACCGGAAGAGGCGGUUGGCUGAGGAGCUGCGGUGGGCGAAGUUGUUGAAGAAGAUCUCCAGCUCCUGGUCAUUGUCAAAGUCGGCGGCGAUGACUGUGCGGACCGGGGACGGCAUGGAGAACUUGGGCGAGGCGAUGUCCUGGCGGGGGAGAUGGUGCAGGGACCUGCAGUGGCUGCACCAAGACCACACAGACCUCGGGCUGCUUGGAGGAGGACAAGGAGGUGAGAGGGACAGUCCCAUUCACACCAGCGGAGCACCUGGCUGUUCCCUGGUCAGCGUCACACACAGCCCGCUCACCAGGCACUCGAGGCAGGGCAGACAUUAACAUUCCCAUUCUGCAGGUGAGGUGAUCAGGUCCUGGGGGAGGGAGGGGAAUCGCGCAUGCUCAUAGCUAACGAUGGGCUGGUAGCCGGGGCUUUUGACUGAAGAUGCUAUGUCCUUCCUCCUCUG